UUCUCCUUUGCUCUCUUUAUAGAAAUGAUUGUAUCAAUUUAAGAAUGUUAUUCUUCCACACUUAAGAAUUAGUUUCACAAGUUCCUCCAAAGAUUGUGUAAAGUAGUGAUUCUCAGUCUACUUGAAAAUAAGUUAUUCGGGCAGCUUUUAAAAGAUAAGGAUGCUUCGAUCAUCUUCCUGAUCAAUUCAAUCAGAAUUGAGUCUACAUUAAAAAAAACAGUCACGGGAAUUAUUCAUGUUGAUCAGAAAUUGGCCAGAGAUAUAUUGCUCUCAAAUUGGGACGCUUCAUGAAUAGACUCAGCACUAAAAUUGAGAUUAAACUAGAAGACUUUAUACACAGUUGACCCUUGAACAGCACAACAGGACUGCAGUUGUGCACUUCUAUGUAGAUUCUGUUCAACAAAGCACCGAUGGAAAAUACAGCAUUUACAAGAUGAGAAACCCGAGUACACAGAGGAUCAAUCUUUGGUAUAACACGAGUUCCACAAGGCUAACUGUGGCAUUUGGAUACUAUGACUCAUUUAUUCAGAAGUCGCUUGGUUACCUAUGUGUUUGGCGUGGGGCUGGACUACCAGCUUGGACUAACUUAGAAAACUGGGAAAAGAACCAACUUGCCUCAAAAACAAUUUCUCCUCUUUCUCUUUAUCCUUUUUCCUCUAUUUAGACUGCUACAUUAAUAAUGAACCUAAGCUACAGAUAAACAGAAUUCAAUCACUGUGGCCAAAAGACAGGAACUUAGCUGUGGUCAGUCUCCCACAUCUGAUGUCCUCGUGGUAGAGUUCAGGGUUAGAGACUAAGCUGAAAGGAAGGAUGGGACUAGGAAGAAUUGCAUAAUCAGACCUGCCAUAUCCACACACAAAUGGCCAAGUCCAGCCAGAAAUCUUCACAGCUGUUUGAAUAAUAAAGUGGAUAAAUGAGAAGAGGCUUCAGUAAGUUAGAUCAAGCAAGUUCUCAGUACCCAGAGCUAUACUGGGAAAAGCCGUUAGAUAAUGAUAACCAAAUGUAUUUUCCUUGACUGUUCUAUAGGAUUCAGGAGUGUUACUAAAUUGUGCCUCCAAAUCUUAAAAAUAAAAGCCUCAAAAUCUAUG
rnacentral:lncRNA from 1 species